rnacentral:rRNA from 1 species
GACGAACGCUGGCGGCGUGCCUAAUACAUGCACGUAGAACGCAGUUGAGAACGGGUGAGUAACGCGUAGGUAACCUGCCUUAUAGCGAGGGAUAACUAUUGGAAACGAUAGCUAAUACAGCAUAACGUGAGAUGGACCUGCUUUGUAUUAGCUAGUUGGUGGGGUAAAGGUUCACCAGGGCGACGAUACAUAGCCGACCUGAGAUGGGGAGCGGCUACACUGCUAGUGGGAUGCGGACCAGACGUCUCAGGGAGGCAGCAGUAGGGAAUCUGCGGCAAUGGACGGAAGUCUGACCGAGCAGCGCGGAGUGAGUGAAGAAGGUUUGCGGAACGUAAAGCUCUGUUGUUAGAUAGGCGGUAACUAACCAGAAAGGGACGGCUAACUACGUGGCAGCAGCCGCGGUAAUAC